rnacentral:tRNA from 1 species
GGAGGGAUGGCUCAGUGGGUAAAAGCACUUGCUAUGCAAGCAUGAGAACCUGAGUUCAAAUCCUCAGUACUUAUG